UACGUAGGGGGCGAGCGUUGUCCGGAUUUAUUGGGCGUAAAGAGCGUGUAGGCGGUUCGGUAAGUCUGUCGUGAAAUCCUGAGGCUCAACCUCGGGCGUGCGAUGGAUACUGCCGGGCUAGAGGAUGGUAGAGGCGAGUGGAAUUCCCAAUGUAGCGGUGAAAUGCGUAGAUAUUGGGAGGAACACCAGUGGCGAAGGCGGCUACCUGGACCGGUUCUGACGCUGAUGCGCGAAAGCGUGGGUAGCAAACAGG
rnacentral:rRNA from 1 species